rnacentral:rRNA from 1 species
UACGAAGGGGGCUAGCGUUGUUCGGAAUUACUGGGCGUAAAGCGCGCGCAGGCGGCUAUCCAAGUCAGUGGUGAAAGCCCGGAGCUCAACUCCGGAACUGCCAUUGAAACUGUUUAGCUUGAGGAUGAGAGAGGUGAGUGGAAUUCCCAGUGUAGAGGUGAAAUUCGUAGAUAUUGGGAAGAACACCGGUGGCGAAGGCGGCGAUCUGGGAAGAUACUGACGCUGAGGUGCGAAAGCGUGGGGAGCAAACAGG